UACUAGAGUGCAUUACUGAUUUC
rnacentral:piRNA from 1 species